CAACGAAUAUUCCGCAAUGGGCGAAAGCCUGACGGAGCGACGCCGCGUGCAGGAUGAAGUCUUUCGGGAUGUAAACUGCUGUCAGGGGUUAGAAAGACAGUGAUCAACCCCACAGGAAGCCUCGGCUAACUCCGUGCCAGCAGCCGCGGUAAUACGGAGGAGGCGAGCGUUGUUCGGAAUUACUGGGCUUAAAGAGCGUGUAGGCGGGAUGUCAGGUGCCUUGUGAAAGCCCCCGGCUCAACCGGGGAAUUGCUUGGCAAACCGGCAUCCUUGAGGCAGGUAGAGGCGACUGGAACGUUCGGUGGAGAGGUGAAAUUCGUAGAUAUCGAACGGAACGCCGGUGGCGAAAGCGGGUCGCUGGGCCUGUCCUGACGCUGAGACGCGAAAGCGUAGGUAGCGAACGGGAUUAGAUACCCCCGUAGUCC
rnacentral:rRNA from 1 species